UGAAAUUACUGGUGGUUGGUAUGC
rnacentral:siRNA from 1 species